rnacentral:rRNA from 1 species
AAUCAACGCUGGCGGCGUGCCUAACACAUGCAAGUCGAACGCGAGAGGGGCUUCGGCCCCGAUUGAGUGGCGAACGGGUGAGUAACGCGUGGGUGACCUACCUUCGAGUGGGGGAGUAACGUCCCGAAAGGGACGCUAAUACCGCAUAACAUCCUGCUUUUGUAAUGGGUGGAGAUCAAAGCCGGGGAUCGCAAGACCUGGCGCUUGAUGAGGGGCCCGCGUCUGAUUAGCAGUUGGUGAGGUAACGGCCCACCAAGGCAACGAUCAGUAUCCGGCCUGAGAGGGCGGACGGACACACUGGGACUGAGACACGGCCCAGACUCCUACGGGAGGCAGCAGUGGGAAUUGUUCGCAAUGGGCGCAAGCCUGACGACGCAACGCCGCGUGGAGGAUGAAGGUCUUCGGAUUGUAAACUCUGUUGCCCGGGCGAAUGGCUCCGACCUAACACGUCGGAGUGUGACGGUACCGGGUGAGGAAGCCCGGCUAACUCUGUGCCAGCAGCCGCC